CCUACGGGAGGCAGCAGUGGGGAAUAUUGCACAAUGGGGGAAACCCUGAUGCAGCCAUGCCGCGUGUGUGAAGAAGGCCUUCGGGUUGUAAAGCACUUUCAGCGAGGAGGAAAGGGUGUAAGUUAAUACCUUACAUCUGUGUCGUUACUCGCAGAAGAAGCACCGGCUAACUCCGUGCCAGCAGCCGCGGUAAUACGGAGGGUGCGAGCGUUAAUCGGAAUUACUGGGCGUAAAGCGUGCGCAGGCGGUUUGUUAAGCGAGAUGUGAAAGCCCCGGGCUCAACCUGGGAACCGCAUUUCGAACUGGCAAACUAGAGUCUUGUAGAGGGGGGUAGAAUUCCAGGUGUAGCGGUGAAAUGCGUAGAGAUCUGGAGGAAUACCGGUGGCGAAGGCGGCCCCCUGGACAAAGACUGACGCUCAGGCACGAAAGCGUGGGGAGCAAACA
rnacentral:rRNA from 1 species